GACGAACGCUGGCGGCGUGCUUAACACAUGCAAGUCGAACGAUGAAGCCGGAGCUUGCUCUGGUGGAUUAGUGGCGAACGGGUGAGUAACACGUGAGUAACCUGCCCUUGACUCUGGGAUAAGCGUUGGAAACGACGUCUAAUACCGGAUACGAGCUAGGACCGCAUGUCACUAGCUGGAAAGAACUUCGGUCAAGGAUGGACUCGCGGCCUAUCAGCUAGUUGGUGAGGUAACGGCUCACCAAGGCGACGACGGGUAGCCGGCCUGAGAGGGUGACCGGCCACACUGGGACUGAUAACAGGCCCAGACUCCUACGGGAAGCAGCAGUGGGGAAUAUUGCACAAUGGGCGAAAGCCUGAUGCAGCAACGCCGCGUGAGGGACGACGGCCUUCGGGUUGUAAACCUCUUUUAGCAGGGAAGAAGCGCAAGUGACGGUACCUGCAGAAAAAGCACCGGCUAACUACGUGCCAGCAGCCGCCGUAACAC
rnacentral:rRNA from 1 species